CCCUUAGAUGUUCUGGGCCACACGCGUGCUACACUGAGUGGAUCAGCGGGUCAGGUUGCGCGAAAGUGUUUCCUAAUCUUGAAAUCCGCUCGUGAUGGGGAUUGACGGUUGCAAUUUUCCGUCAUGAACGAGGAAUACCUUGUAAGCGCGGGUCAUCAUCCCGCGCUGAAUACGUCCCUGCCCUUUGUACACACCGCCCGUCGCUCCUACCGAUUGAGUGGUCCGGUGAGGCUUUGGGAUCUGAGCGGAAAGAGCGUUUCGCUGUUUCUGCUCGGAAAACUCAGUCGAACCUUAUCAUUUAGAGGAAGGAGAAGUCGUAACA
rnacentral:rRNA from 1 species